AUGGAUCUGAGAACGCUGUCUGGGCUUGGUGCCAAGUGCUGGUAUUUCACAGCAGCGACCGCCUCACAGACGGGCUGUGGGAAGCAGGAGGGAGACUCUCUUAGGGUGCCACUACUAUGGAGACACAGCUGGGCUGAACAAGAUUUGCUUCAAACGACAACAAGAGAGACAGAAAGUAUCUGGUUCAACCGCUGCCCAAGCAGGCAGGCACCAGAAGAGCUAGCAGCCAAUCCGGCCAUGCUCGAAGCCAGCUCUGCAGCUCAGCCAAUCAGUGACAUCACUGCAGUUUUAUUUAAACUGCCUGUGAUGGUAUGAAGAUAAGAAUGAAUAUCAAUACUUAACCAGCACUUCUUUUGAAGAAAAUAUUCUGGAAAUCAGGUAAAAAUAAUACAAAUAAUUUUAGGAAUGCAAUUUCCCUUUGUAAAAAUAAACUAUUUUCUU
rnacentral:lncRNA from 1 species